UUGUGUGUAGGAGAGUUUUUACUGAAACAGUGGAAACAAGGAAACACUUGAUUCGGUAAAACCAGAA
rnacentral:sRNA from 23 species